GCAAACUUGGUCAUUUAGAGGAAGUAAAAGUCGUAACAAGGUUUAGAACAAGUUCUUUCCCAGUGAUGCUUAUGAGAAGCCUUUGUAACCCUGCAAAGGGUACUUACCGCGACUAUAAAUAAGAAUGUAGGUAUUAAAUUGCAAGUCAGUUAGUAAACUGGCUACACUUUCGAAUUGCGGGAAUACCCUAAAACUUACUCUACCAACCAGUUAUGGAAACAUGAUUGGGGCUCAUGUUAACACCAUGAGGUUUUAUAAGAAAUUAUAGAAAAGUCACGUUCCGUAGGUGAACCUGCGGAAGGAUCAUUAAAAAUCUAACUGUUCAAAUAUUUUUAAAUAUUUGAACUAUUCAACCUUGAUUCAUAUGAGUUGAGUGAAUCAGAAAACCUUUUAAACCUGUCUUGAAAUUCUGAAUUUUAAAUUUUCAAAUGAAAAUUAUAAAACUUUCAACAACGGAUCUCUUGGUUCUCGCAUCGAUGAAGAACGCAGC
rnacentral:misc_RNA from 1 species